rnacentral:rRNA from 1 species
CGAACGGGUGAGUAACACGUGAGCAACCUGUCCCGAAGACCGGGAUAACACCGGGAAACCGGUGCUAAUACCGGAUAUCCCCACCAGAUCGCAUGGUCGGGUGAGGAAAUGGAUUCCGCUUCGGGAGGGGCUCGCGGGCUAUCAGCUUGUUGGUGAGGUAACGGCUCACCAAGGCUUCGACGGCUAGCUGGUCUGAGAGGACGACCAGCCACACUGGGACUGAGAUACGGCCCAG